GACAGAGGGUGCAAACGUUGUUCGGAUUUACUGGGCGUAAAGCGCGUGUAGGCGGCUUUGCAAGUCGGAUGUGAAAGCCCACGGCUCAACCGUGGAAGUGCAUCCGAAACUGCAUGGCUGGAGUCUCGGAGAGGAAGGUGGAAUGCUUGGUGUAGAGGUGAAAUUCGUAGAUAUUCGCAAGAACACCAGUGGCGAAGGCGGCUCACUGGUCCGGUACUGACGCUGAGGUGCGAAAGCGUGGGGAGCAAACAGG
rnacentral:rRNA from 1 species